AAUACAGUGUGCCGUCCCUUUAAAUACAGUGUGCCGUCCCUUUAAAUACAGUGUGCCGUCCCUUUAAAUACAGUGUGCCGUACCUUUAAUAUGUGUUUGUUGACAGACUCACUAGAAGACGGGUUCAGAUUAUAGGUGCUUGCCUACGGAGCUGUGAGGGGAACGGCACCUCAGUACCUCCAGGCUCUGAUCAGGCCCUACACCCAAACAAGGGCACUGCGUUCAUCCACCUCUGGCCUGCUCGCCUCCCUACCACUGAGGAAGUACAGUUCCCGCUCAGCCCAGUCAAAACUGUUCGCUGCUCUGGCCCCUCAAUGGUGGAACAAACUCCCUCACGACGCCAGGACAGCGGAGUCAAUCACCACCUUCCGGAGACACCUGAAACCCCACCUCUUUAAGGAAUACCUAGGAUAGGAUAAGUAAUCCUUCUCACCCCCCCCCCCCUAAAAGAUUUAGAUGCACUAUUGUAAAGUGGCUGUUCCACUGGAUGUCAUAAGGUGAAUGCACCAAUUUGUAAGUCGCUCUGGAUAAGAGCGUCUGCUAAAUGACUUAAAUGUAAAAAUGUAAAUAGGGAUCAAUCAAAGAAGGCCAUCUUAAUGUAUGUGUAUUGGUCUCCGUUUCAGCACCAACUGGUAGAUUAAAGACACUCUGAUCUUGGAGAUGAUUUAGGCACAUUUAAAAGGUUAGGAACGUAUUGAGUUAAGAGCCUUUACGCACAAUAUAUAUUGAGGAAUAAAAAAAUACAGUGGUUUGCUUCAACCUGAAAGUUGCCAUAUUCUAGAUCAUGAAAUAUUGCAAGGUAGAAGAAAAAGAAAGUGUACAACAUGAGUUGAACAAUAGUCCUAUAAAUAUACCCUAAUCAUGGAACUGUAUGACAACGGGCCGGUCAUCAUGAACUGUGCGCCAGGCUCCAGGUUUAAACUGCUGACGUGGGGUCUGAGUGCCAUAACCAUUCAAAACAGGCUACAUGUCCCAAAUGAUCGCACAACAUUAGCCUAAUGUGAUCCACUAAUGCUAGAGACCCUCAGGAACAACUACACUGAUGUGACAGAGGAAAGAAAGGCACGUUGGAAUGGAAUGACGCAAGACGUAAGGUACAAAUUGAAGGAACCCCUAAAGUGACAGUUCAAAAUGCAUCAUGGAACGGUGGCUCCCAGAUAGAGGUGAGGAACAGAUAGAGGUGAGGAACAGAUAGAGGUGAGGAACAGAUAGAGGUGAGGAGGAACAGAUAGAGGUGAGGAGGAACAGAUAGAGGUGAGGAACAGAUAGAGGUGAGGAACAGAUAGAGGUGAGGAGGAACAGAUAGAGGUGAGGAGGAACAGAUAGAGGUGAGGAGGAACAGAUAGAGGUGAGGAGGAACAGAUAGAGGUGAGGAGGAACAGAUAGAGGUGAGGAGGAACAGAUAGAGGUGAGGAACAGAUAGAGGUGAGGAACAGAUAGAGGUGAGGAGGAACAGAUAGAGGUGAGGAACAGAUAGAGGUGAGGAGGAACAGAUAGAGGUGAGGAGGAACAGAUAGAGGUGAGGAACAGAUAGAGGUGAGGAACAGAUAGAGGUGAGGAACAGAUAGAGGUGAGGAACAGAUAGAGGUGAGGAACAGAUAGAGGUGAGGAACAGAUAGAGGUGAGGAACAGAUAGAGGUGAGGAACAGAUAGAGGUGAGGACCAGAUAGAGGUGAGGAACAGAUAGAGGUGAGGAACAGAUAGAGGUGAGGACCAGAUAGAGGUGAGGAACAGAUAGAGGUGAGGAACAGAUAGAGGUGAGGAACAGAUAGAGGUGAGGAACAGAUAGAGGUGAGGAACAGAUAGAGGUGAGGAACAGAUAGAGGUGAGGACCAGAUAGAGGUGAGGAGGAACAGAUAGAGGUGAGGAGGAACGGAUAGAGGUGAGGAACAGUGGAUAGAGGUGAGGAACAGAUAGAGGUGAGGAACAGAUAGAGGUGAGGAACAGUGGAUAGAGGUGAGGAACAGAUAGAGGUGAGGAACAGAUAGAGGUGAGGAGGAACAGAUAGAGGUGAGGAGGAACAGAUAGAGGUGAGGAACAGAUAGAGGUGAGGAGGAACGGAUAGAGGUGAGGAGGAACAGAUAGAGGUGAGGAACAGAUAGAGGUGAGGAACAGAUAGAGGUGAGGAACAGAUAGAGGUGGCUCCCGAUAUCGUGGCUAAUAUUUCACAUGCUAGAAACGGUCAAAUAAAACAGAUGUUAUCUCGGCAAAUUAUAAGGGCAUACAAUACAAAAAGGGACCACAAUACAUGUCACGUCGAUAUGACUGUCAGUUUGCUGGUAUGGUUCCGCCUUCAGGGAUCAUAAGGGGAAAUGAUCUAAAACUAUUGCCGCGUGUAUUUACAAUCUCCAAACAGAGGACUAAUUUACCUAGCUCUUAUAAAAUGUCUAAAUUACAGUUGCAUUGAGAUUCUAAAAAAAAAUAGUGAAAAAUAAAGCAGAUGCUUUUUCCACUUGGAACCGGUAGGUUCGCUGAAACCUUAUUCAUGGUUUCCUCGUGUGAAAAGAGGGUGGAAUUAUUAGGGGAUUAAGUGAAGGUCAGAAUAUGGCGUAUCUGUAGACCUACGACACACCUUCAUUUAUACGACGUCCACCCCAAACGAAUAGCGGGUGAAUAGCUAUUCUCAUACUAAAGUUCAAGGUCAGAAUAAAGAGUAGAGAGAAAGGGGCAUGAGAAAGGAAAUGACCUUCAAUUUAACGCAUCCUUCACGCGAGUCCCGAAUUCCCCAAGGGGAACAAGACAAAUAUUAGUACAAAGCAUUUAACAGGCAUGAGUUAAGAGCGAGAGAGAGAGACAAGAGGAACCAACCUUGAAACAUCUCCUGAACACAACACAAAAACAGGACAAAUGGAAGGAGAAGA